rnacentral:rRNA from 1 species
GAUGAACGCUGGCGGCGUGCCUAAUACAUGCAAGUCGAGCGAACGGACGUGAAGCUUGCUUCUCUGAUGUUAGCGGCGGACGGGUGAGUAACACGUGGAUAACCUACCUAUAAGACUGGGAUAACUUCGGGAAACCGGAGCUAAUACCGGAUAAUAUUUUGAACCGCAUGGUUCAAAAGUGAAAGGCGGUCUUGCUGUCACUUAUAGAUGGAUCCGCGCUGCAUUAGCUAGUUGGUAAGGUAACGGCUUACCAAGGCAACGAUGCAUAGCCGACCUGAGAGGGUGAUCGGCCACACUGGAACUGAGACACGGUCCAGACUCCUACGGGAGGCAGCAGUAGGGAAUCUUCCGCAAUGGGCGAAAGCCUGACGGAGCAACGCCGCGUGAGUGAUGAAGGUCUUCGGAUCGUAAAACUCUGUUAUUAGGGAAGAACAUAUGUGUAAGUAACUGUGCACAUCUUGACGGUACCUAAUCAGAAAGCCACGGCUAACUACGUG